rnacentral:snoRNA from 1 species
AGGCAUCUCUUGCAAACCUGGAGAAGUUAAUAUCUGUUGCUAAGGUUUCCACUACAGAUGUAAGAAAUAGAAGAUCCUCACACUUUCUCUGGUUGCAGAAGUCAAGAUUGAAUUGGGGAAUACAGAA